rnacentral:rRNA from 1 species
UUGACCUCGGAUCAGGUAGGAAUACGCGCUGAACUUAAGCAUAUCAAUAAGCGCAGGAAAAGAAACCAACAGGGAUUGCCUCAGUAACGGCGAGUGAAGCGGCAACAGCUCAAAUUUGAAAUCUGGCCUCUUGGGGUCCGAGUUGUAAUUUGUAGAGGAUGUUUCGGGUACCGCCUCGGUUUAAAUUUCUUGGAACAGAAUGUCAAAGAGGGUGAGAAUCCCGUCUUGGACCGGCGGUAGGGCCUAUGUGAAACUCCUUCGACGAGUCGAGUUGUUUGGGAAUGCAGCUCAAAAUGGGUGGUAAAUUUCAUCUAAAGCUAAAUAUUGGCCAGAGACCGAUAGCGCACAAGUAGAGUGAUCGAAAGAUGAAAAGCACUUUGAAAAGAGAGUUAAACAGUAUGUGAAAUUGUUGAAAGGGAAGCGCUUGCAACCAGACUUGAGCGCGGCGGUUCCCCCUUGCUUCUGCUUGGGUUACUCCGCCGUGUCCAGGCCAACAUCGGUUCUGGGGGUCGGUCAAAGGCUCUGGGAAUGUAUCUACCCACGGGUAGACUUAUAGACCAGGGUGUCAUGCGACCUCCCGGGACCGAGGAACGCGCUUCGGCUCGGAUGUUGGCGUAAUGGUUGUCAGCGACCCGUCUUGAAACACGGACCAAGGAGUCUAACAUCUAUGCGAGUGUUUGGGUGUCAAACCCGGAACGCGGAAUGAAAGUGAACGGAGGUAGGAAGCUUCGGCUGCACUAUCGACCGAUCCUGAAGUUUACGGAUGGAUUUGAGUAAGAGCAUAGCUGUUGGGACCCGAAAGAUGGUGAACUAUGCCUGAAUAGGGUGAAGCCAGAGGAAACUCUGGUGGAGGCUCGCAGCGGUUCUGACGUGCAAAUCGAUCGUCAAAUUUGGGUAUAGGGGCGAAAGACUAAUCGAACCAU